rnacentral:lncRNA from 1 species
GACACUUAAACUAAAAGUAAACAUUAAUUGUUUAUUAUUUUUAUACAUAUAUAUACAUAUAAUUGCAUUAUAAAUAAUUGCAUUAUAAAAAAGAAAUAAUAAUUACUUAGUAUAUGCAUAAUGUAUAUACGUAGACACUUAAAUUAAAAGUAAAUAUUAAUUAUUUUAUUAUUUUUAUACAUAUGUAUAUAAAUAACUGUAUUAAAAAAAUAAUCAACACAUAUACAUUCAUAUAAGAAAAAUAAAAAAAAUUAUUGGCCCGCUGGUGGGCCGGCCCAGCUGCCCAGGCGGCCCACCUGCCCCUCCCCCUCGCCCCUCUCUGCACCGGCC